GGCGAGGGGUUGGCGGCUGGGCGAAGGGAGCAUUCAAAAGCGGAGAAUGUCACUUUACCCGAGAAAUUCACUACGAUGGGCCAUUGGUUUCUGCUCGGCUCGCAGGCGCACUGCACGAGUGGAGGUGUGGCUAGUGGCUGUGAUGAGAUAAAUCCAUGCAUAGCCUUUUCAUUGCGAGCUUGAAAGUUCUUUUCUAUUACAGUUUUAGCUUUAGGUUUAAUUGGUUCGACUGCCUUCUCCACAAUUUGGGCGAGAAUUUCCUUUGCCUUCUCAGCAAAAGUUGUUCUGCGGACCCGUCUGGGUCAACUUUCAUGAGGGACAUUGAGACAAACAAAUGAAAUAUGGGUUAAAGUACUCUGAGCAGCUACAAAAAGAAGACCAGUCUAUCCUGCUGGAGACAGUGGCCACGUGAAGAAAGAGCUCUUGCAGUAUGAAAGACCACAUGGAAAGAGAGGCCACAUGGAACCAACAGUCAGCAUCUUGGUUUCGGACACGUGAAGAAAUUCAUCUCAGACUGUGUAUCCUAAAUCAGGCACUUGCUGAAUCUAACUACAUGAGUGAGACCAGUUGACAACACAUGGAGCAGACAUGAGCUGUUCUCAGUGAGUCCUACACAAAUUCCUGACUCACAACACUGUGAGCAAUAAAAUGGUUGUUAUUUUAAGCCACUGAAGUUUGCAGUGAUUUCUUACAUAGGAAUAGAUAAAUGAAACACAAACAUUGAUCAUUUGCAUCUUCUAUCUUUUUUAUGACUAGUCUUAUUGGAAAUUACCAGUUUAUUUCUGCCAUGGUUAGAAAACAAACUCUGAAAUUUUGAUACUUUAAAAUUUUUUUGAGACUUACUGUGCCCAGAAUAUAGUCUAUCUUGGUGAAUGUUCUGUGAGCACUAGACAAGAAUAUGUAUUCUGUAGUUAUUGAGCAUUGUGUCCAUCAAUGUCAACGUGAUUAAGGUGGUUAAUAGUUGUCUUCAGAUCUUCUAUAUUGUAUUGAUUGUUUUAUGUGUAGUGUUGCUAUUAAUUAUUGAUACAGGAGUGUAAAACUUAAACUAUGGCUGUGAAUUUGCCACUUACUUUAGUUUUGUCAGCUUUUCUUUUGCAUUUUUGAAGCUCUGUUAUUGGGCAUAUAAACAUUUAUGGUUCGUGUGUCUUCCUGAUGAAUUGACCAUUUUAUCAUUAUGAAAUGUCUUUAUUGCUGAUAAUACUCCUUAUCUUGAAGUCUAAUUCAUCCGAUAUUAGUAUAGCCACUGCAGCCUUCCUAGCUUACUGUUUACUGGUAUAUUUUUAUCCAUGUUUUUACUUUCAACCUGUGUUUUUUAAUUUAAUGUGCUUCUCUUAUAGACAACAGAUAGUUGAGUUUGUCUAUCAUUUUGCUAUUUGUUUUCGAUUUGUCCCAUUCAGUUUUGUGUUCCUUUGUUCUUUACUUCCUGCUUUCUUUUGGGUUAAUUAAUGUUUUUAUAUUUCAUCUUAAUUCCUCUGUUGGCUUUAACUGUAUCUUUUUGCAUUAUUGCUUUACAGUGUUUCUGAGAAUUAUGAUAUACAUUCUUAACUUAUCACAGCCUUAGAGUUAAAAUUAUGAUACUUCAUGUAAAAUAAAAGAGCCUUGCAAUAGUAAAGUUCUACUUACCACCUCCCCAAGUCCUUUGUGCUUUGUUGUCAUAUAUAUCAUAUCUAUGCACAUUGUUAUUUUUGCCUUAGUCAUAUGUAUCGCAAAGAAAUUAAGAGAAGAAAAGUAUAUAUUACCUUUUGUGUAUUUACCUACAUUUUGCUAUUUCCAGUUCUUUUCAUUCCUUCCUGUUUGUGGUGAAUUAUCUUUAAGAAUAGCUGUCAAAAAGUAUUCACAUUCUUGUAUGUGCAUGUUGCUUCUCCCUUUAAGAAAUAGAAUCAGCUGGGCAUGGUGGCUCACGUCUGUAAUCCCAGCAAUUUGGGAGGUCAAGGCAGGUGGAUCACAAGGUCAGGAGUUCAAGACCAACCUGAACAACAUGGUGAAACCCUGUCUCUACUGAAAAUACAAAAAAAAAAAAAAAAAAAAAA
ensembl:lncRNA TAF1A-AS1 TAF1A antisense RNA 1